UACGUAGGGUGCGAGCGUUGUCCGGAAUUAUUGGGCGUAAAGGGCUCGUAGGCGGUCUGUUACGUCGGGAGUGAAAACUCAGGGCUCAACCCUGAGCCUGCUUCCGAUACGGGCAGACUAGAGGUAUGCAGGGGAGAAUGGAAUUCCUGGUGUAGCGGUGAAAUGCGCAGAUAUCAGGAGGAACACCGGUGGCGAAGGCGGUUCUCUGGGCAUUACCUGACGCUGAGACGCGAAAGCGUGGGGAGCGAACAGG
rnacentral:rRNA from 1 species